AGAGUUUGAUCAUGGCUCAGAUUAAACGCUGGCGGCAUGCCUUACACAUGCAAGUCGAACGGUAACGGGCUUCGGGUGCCGACGAGUGGCGAACGGGUGAGUAAUGUAUCGGAACGUACCUUUCAGUGGGGGAUAACGUAGCGAAAGUUACGCUAAUACCGCGUAUUCUGUGAGCAGGAAAGCAGGGGAUCGCAAGACCUUGCGCUGAUUGAGCGGCCGAUAUCAGAUUAGCUAGUUGGUGAGGUAAAGGCUCACCAAGGCGACGAUCUGUAGCGGGUCUGAGAGGAUGAUCCGCCACACUGGAACUGAGACACGGUCCAGACUCCUACGGGAGGCAGCAGUGGGGAAUUUUGGACAAUGGGGGCAACCCUGAUCCAGCCAUGCCGCGUGAGUGAAGAAGGCCUUCGGGUUGUAAAGCUCUUUCGGCCGGGAAGAAAUCGUAUGGGUUAAUACCCUGUGCGGAUGACGGUACCGGCAUAAGAAGCACCGGCUAACUACGUG
rnacentral:rRNA from 1 species